rnacentral:rRNA from 1 species
GACAGAGGGUGCAAACGUUGCUCGGAAUCACUGGGCGUAAAGGGCGUGUGGGCGGGAAGAUAAGUCGGACGUGAAAUCCCCAGGCUCAACCUGGGAACUGCACUCGAAACUGUUUUUCUUGAGUGCCGGAGAGGAAAGCGGAAUUCCUGGUGUAGAGGUGAAAUUCGUAGAUAUCAGGAGGAACACCAGUGGCGAAGGCGGCUUUCUGGGCGGUAACUGACGCUGAGACGCGAAAGCGUGGGGAGCAAACAGG